UACGGGGGGGGUAAGCGUUGUUCGGAAUUACUGGGCGUAAAGGGCGCGUAGGCGGCCCUCUAAGUCAGACGUGAAAUCCCCCGGCUUAACCUGGGAACUGCGUCUGAUACUGGGAGGCUUGAAUGCGGGAGAGGGAUGUAGAAUUCCAGGUGUAGCGGUGAAAUGCGUAGAUAUCUGGAGGAAUACCGGUGGCGAAGGCGGCAUCCUGGACCGACAUUGACGCUGAGGCGCGAAAGCUAGGGUAGCAAACGGG
rnacentral:rRNA from 1 species